CACUGCCGAGAAAAGCCUCUAGAUAGAAAAUAGGUGCCCGUACCGCAAACCGACACAGGUAGUCAAGAUGAGAAUUCUAAGGUGAGCGAGCGAACUCUCGUUAAGGAACUCGGCAAAAUGACCCCGUAACUUCGGGAGAAGGGGUGCUCUUUAGGGUUAACGCCCAGAAGAGCCGCAGUGAAUAGGCCCAAGCGACUGUUUAUCAAAAACACAGGUCUCUGCUAAACCGUAAGGUGAUGUAUAGGGGCUGACGCCUGCCCGGUGCUGGAAGGUUAAGAGGAGUGGUUAGCUUCUGCGAAGCUACGAAUCGAAGCCCCAGUAAACGGCGGCCGUAACUAUAACGGUCCUAAGGUAGCGAAAUUCCUUGUCGGGUAAGUUCCGACCCGCACGAAAGGCGUAACGAUUUGGGCACUGUCUCAACGAGAGACUCGGUGAAAUCAUAGUACCUGUGAAGAUGCAGGUUACCCGCGACAGGACGGAAAGACCCCGUGGAGCUUUACUGUAGCCUGAUAUUGAAAUUCGGCACAGCUUGUACAGGAUAGGUAGGAGCCUUUGAAACGUGAGCGCUAGCUUACGUGGAGGCGCUGGUGGGAUACUACCCUAGCUGUGUUGGCUUUCUAACCCGCACCACUUAUCGUG
rnacentral:rRNA from 1 species